rnacentral:tmRNA from 2 species
GGGGCCUUAAUGGUUUCGACAGGCUGGCGAACGCCGCCCCGUGAUACAGGCCGAGAGUGAGUCUGCUCUCGUUAAUACAAGGCUCAAAAAAAAGUAAAUGCGAACAACAUCGUUCCUUUUGCUCGUAAGGCUGCUCCUGUAGUUGCCUAAUAACCCCUAAACAAGGUUCGAGCGUCUGUAGUCUGACUCCGUUAAGGGCUGCGGACAAACCCCAACGGAUGCUCUAGAAAGUAGCCUCUGGUCAGCUUUCUAGCUAAGAAUUAACCAGAGCAUCCUGUCAUCCGGGAUAAUGGAUGGUUCCCGCUCUGAGGGUCAGAAGAGCUAAGCCUGUGAAUGAGCGGUAGGUUAAUACCCGGUUUGGACACGGGUUCGACUCCCGUAGGCUCCAUUU